rnacentral:tRNA from 1 species
AAAGAUUUAGGAUCAGUAAGACCGAAAGCCUUCAAAGCUUUAAGUGAGGGUCUAACUCCCUCAAUCUUUA